rfam:Schistosoma mansoni strain Puerto Rico chromosome 2, complete genome
GCACUGCUGAGGAGUCCGACAAUAGGACAAAACGGCAGUCCAGUGC